GACGAACGCUGGCGGUGUGCUUAACACAUGCAAGUCGAACGGUAAGGCCCUUUCGGGGGUACACGAGUGGCGAACGGGUGAGUAACACGUGAGUAACCUGCCCUCAUCUCUGGGAUAACAGUCGGAAACGGUUGCUAAUACUGGAUAUGAGCUUGCAAGGCAUCUUGUGGGUUGGAAAGAUUUUUUUGGUUGGGGAUGGACUCGCGGCCUAUCAGCUUGUUGGUGAGGUAGUGGCUCACCAAGGCUUCGACGGGUAGCCGGCCUGAGAGGGCGACCGGCCACAUUGGGACUGAGAUACGGCCCAAACUCCUACGGGAGGCAGCAGUGGGGAAUAUUGCACAAUGGACGGAAGUCUGAUGCAGCAACGCCGCGUGCGGGAUGACGGCCUUCGGGUUGUAAACCGCUUUCAAUUGUGACGAAGCUUCUUGUGACGGUAGCAGUAGAAGAAGCACCGGCUAACUACGUG
rnacentral:rRNA from 1 species